rnacentral:rRNA from 1 species
AUGCAAGUCGAGCGAUGAAACCCCUUCGGGGGUGGAUUAGCGGCGGACGGGUGAGUAACACGUGGGUAACCUGCCUCAAAGUGGGGGAUAGCCUUCCGAAAGGAAGAUUAAUACCGCAUAAAGCCAAGUUUCACAUGGAAUUUGGAUGAAAGGAGUAAUUCGCUUUGAGAUGGACCCGCGGCGCAUUAGUUAGUUGGUGGGGUAAUGGCCUACCAAGACAGCGAUGCGUAGCCGACCUGAGAGGGUGAUCGGCCACAUUGGAACUGAGAUACGGUCCAGACUCCUACGGGAGGCAGCAGUGGGGAAUAUUGCACAAUGGGCGAAAGCCUGAUGCAGCAACGCCGCGUGAGUGAUGAAGGUCUUCGGAUUGUAAAGCUCUGUCUUUUGGGACGAUAAUGACGGUACCAAAGGAGGAAGCCACGGCUAACUACGUGCCAGCAGCCGCGGUAAUACGUAGGUGGCGAGCGUUGUCCGGAUUUACUGGGCGUAAAGGGUGCGUAGGCGGAUGUUUAAGUGAGAUGUGAAAUACCCGGGCUUAACUUGGGUGCUGCAUUUCAAACUGGAUAUCUAGAGUGCAGGAGAGGAGAAUGGAAUUCCUAGUGUAGCGGUGAAAUGCGUAGAGAUUAGGAAGAACACCAGUGGCGAAGGCGAUUCUCUGGACUGUAACUGACGCUGAGGCACGAAAGCGUGGGUAGCAAACAGGAUUAGAUACCCUGGUAGUCCACGCCGUAAACGAUGAGUACUAGGUGUAGGAGGUAUCGACCCCUUCUGUGCCGCAGUAAACACAUUAAGUACUCCGCCUGGGAAGUACGAUCGCAAGAUUAAAACUCAAAGGAAUUGACGGGGGCCCGCACAAGCAGCGGAGCAUGUGGUUUAAUUCGAAGCAACGCGAAGAACCUUACCUGGACUUGACAUCCCCUGAAUAACCUAGAGAUAGGCGAAGCCCUUCGGGGCAGGGAGACAGGUGGUGCAUGGUUGUCGUCAGCUCGUGUCGUGAGAUGUUAGGUUAAGUCCUGCAACGAGCGCAACCCUUAUUGUUAGUUGCUAACAUUC